rnacentral:rRNA from 1 species
UAAGGCUAAAUACUCUCUAGUGACCGAUAGUGAACCAGUACCGUGAGGGAAAGGUGAAAAGCACCCCGGAAGGGGAGUGAAAUAGAACCUGAAACCGUGUGCUUACAAGUAGUCAGAGCCCGUUAAUGGGUGAUGGCGUGCCUUUUGUAGAAUGAACCGGCGAGUUACGAUUUGAUGCAAGGUUAAGCAGUAAAUGUGGAGCCGUAGCGAAAGCGAGUCUGAAUAGGGCGUUUAGUAUUUGGUCGUAGACCCGAAACCAGGUGAUCUACCCUUGGUCAGGUUGAAGUUCAGGUAACACUGAAUGGAGGACCGAACCGACUUACGUUGAAAAGUGAGCGGAUGAACUGAGGGUAGCGGAGAAAUUCCAAUCGAACCUGGAGAUAGCUGGUUCUCUCCGAAAUAGCUUUAGGGCUAGCCUCAAGUGAUGAUUAUUGGAGGUAGAGCACUGUUUGG